GGAGUAAAAGUCGUAACAAGGUUUCCGUAGGUGAACCUGCGGAAGGAUCAUUAUUGUAUAACCGAGGUGCGAGGGCUGUCGCUGACCCGAAAGGUCGUGCACGCCCGAGUGCCCUCACACACAUCCAUCUCACCCCUAUGUGCACCACCGCGUGGGUCCCCCUUUGGCUUGUUCGGAGGGGGGCUUACGUUUUCACACAAACUUUGUAUGCAGUGUAGAAUGUAUUUUUUGUUUUUGCGAUCACGCAAUCAAUACGACUUUCAACAACGGAUCUCUUGGCUCUC
rnacentral:misc_RNA from 1 species